rnacentral:tRNA from 3 species
GGGCCGUUAGCUCAAUUGGUAGAGCUGCGGACUUUUAAUCCGUAGGUUCUGGGUUCGAGCCCCAGGCGGCCCACAA